GAUGAACGCUGGCGGCGUGCCUAAUACAUGCAAGUCGAGCGAACAGACGAGGAGCUUGCUCCUCUGACGUUAGCGGCGGACGGGUGAGUAACACGUGGAUAACCUACCUAUAAGACUGGGAUAACUUCGGGAAACCGGAGCUAAUACCGGAUAAUAUAUUGAACCGCAUGGUUCAAUAGUGAAAGACGGGUUUGCUGUCACUUAUAGAUGUAUCCGCGCCGCAUUAGCUAGUUGGUAAGGUAACGGCUUACCAAGGCGACGAUGCGUAGCCGACCUGAGAGGGUGAUCGGCCACACUGGAACUGAGACACGGUCCAGACUCCUACGGGAGGCAGCAGUAGGGAAUCUUCCGCAAUGGGCGAAAGCCUGACGGAGCAACGCCGCGUGAGUGAUGAAGGUCUUCGGAUCGUAAAACUCUGUUAUUAGGGAAGAACAAAUGUGUAAGUAACUAUGCACGUCUUGACGGUACCUAAUCAGAAAGCCACGGCUAACUACGUG
rnacentral:rRNA from 1 species